rnacentral:rRNA from 2 species
UCGAACGAUGAUGCCCAGCUUGCUGGGUGGAUUAGUGGCGAACGGGUGAGUAACACGUGAGUAACCUGCCCCUGACUCUGGGAUAAGCGUUGGAAACGACGUCUAAUACUGGAUAUGACUGCCGGCCGCAUGGUCUGGUGGUGGAAAGAUUUUUUGGUUGGGGAUGGACUCGCGGCCUAUCAGCUUGUUGGUGAGGUAAUGGCUCACCAAGGCGACGACGGGUAGCCGGCCUGAGAGGGUGACCGGCCACACUGGGACUGAGACACGGCCCAGACUCCUACGGGAGGCAGCAGUGGGGAAUAUUGCACAAUGGGCGAAAGCCUGAUGCAGCAACGCCGCGUGAGGGAUGACGGCCUUCGGGUUGUAAACCUCUUUUAGUAGGGAAGAAGCGAAAGUGACGGUACCUGCAGAAAAAGCACCGGCUAACUACGUGCCAGCAGCCGCGGUAAUACGUAGGGUGCAAGCGUUGUCCGGAAUUAUUGGGCGUAAAGAGCUCGUAGGCGGUUUGUCGCGUCUGCUGUGAAAUCCCGAGGCUCAACCUCGGGCUUGCAGUGGGUACGGGCAGACUAGAGUGCGGUAGGGGAGAUUGGAAUUCCUGGUGUAGCGGUGGAAUGCGCAGAUAUCAGGAGGAACACCGAUGGCGAAGGCAGAUCUCUGGGCCGUAACUGACGCUGAGGAGCGAAAGCGUGGGGAGCGAACAGGAUUAGAUACCCUGGUAGUCCACGCCGUAAACGUUGGGCGCUAGAUGUAGGGACCUUUCCACGGUUUCUGUGUCGUAGCUAACGCAUUAAGCGCCCCGCCUGGGGAGUACGGCCGCAAGGCUAAAACUCAAAGGAAUUGACGGGGGCCCGCACAAGCGGCGGAGCAUGCGGAUUAAUUCGAUGCAACGCGAAGAACCUUACCAAGGCUUGACAUACACCGGAAACGGCCAGAGAUGGUCGCCCCCUUGUGGUCGGUGUACAGGUGGUGCAUGGUUGUCGUCAGCUCGUGUCGUGAGAUGUUGGGUUAAGUCCCGCAACGAGCGCAACCCUCGUUCUAUGUUGCCAGCGCGUUAUGGCGGGGACUCAUAGGAGACUGCCGGGGUCAACUCGGAGGAAGGUGGGGAUGACGUCAAAUCAUCAUGCCCCUUAUGUCUUGGGCUUCACGCAUGCUACAAUGGCCGGUACAAAGGGCUGCGAUACCGUAAGGUGGAGCGAAUCCCAAAAAGCCGGUCUCAGUUCGGAUUGAGGUCUGCAACUCGACCUCAUGAAGUCGGAGUCGCUAGUAAUCGCAGAUCAGCAACGCUGCGGUGAAUACGUUCCCGGGCCUUGUACACACCGCCCGUCAAGUCAUGAAAGUCGGUAACACCCGAAGCCGGUGGCCUAAC